rnacentral:ncRNA from 2 species
CUUUACACUUUGGUAUUAUCUCGGAGCAAUGUCGCGUGGAGGUAGAAGGCCCACGGGUCGUGAACUUCUUUUCUUGUAGAAGAAGCAAUGACGGUAUCUAGAGAAUAAGCAUCAGCUAACUCUAUGUCAGCAGCCGUGGUAAUACAAAGGAUGCAAGUGUAAG